CCCUUAGAUGUUCUGGGCGGCCCGCGCACUACAUUGGAACUCUCAAUAAGUUCCUAGAUCUAAAACUUUGGGGUAUUCUAUUAAGUGGUGUCGUGACUGGGAUUAACCCUUGCAAUUAUUGGUUACGAACGAGGAAUUCCUUGUAAUCGCGGUUUAUCAGCCCGCGUUGAAUGCGUCCCUGCCCUUUGUACACACCGCCCGUCGCUCCUACCGAUGAAUCGUCCGGUGAAGUUCAUGGAGUGGUGGUUGUUCCAGCUGCUGUCGAAGUGAAAUGGACCUCACGAUUUAGAGGAAGGAGAAGUCGUAACA
rnacentral:rRNA from 1 species